GUCUACGACCAUACCACCCGGAAAACAUCGGUUCUCGUCUGAUCAUCGAAGUUAAGCCUGGUCGGGCGAAGUUAGUACUUGGAUGGGUGACCGCCUGGGAAUACUUCGUGUUGUAGACU